UGGGGAAUAUUGGACAAUGGGGGGAACCCUGAUCCAGCCAUGCCGCGUGUGUGAAGAAGGCCUUAUGGUUGUAAAGCACUUUAAGCGAGGAGGAGGGUACUGGUAUUAAUACUACCAGCUACUGGACGUUACUCGCAGAAUAAGCACCGGCUAACUCUGUGCCAGCAGCCGCGGCAAUACAGAGGGUGCGAGCGUUAAUCGGAUUUACUGGGCGUAAAGCGUGCGUAGGUGGUUCGUUAAGUUGAAUGUGAAAGCCCCGGGCUCAACCUGGGAACUGCAUCCAAAACUGGCGAGCUGGAGUAAGGCAGAGGGUGGUGGAAUUUCCUGUGUAGCGGUGAAAUGCGUAGAUAUAGGAAGGAACACCAGUGGCGAAGGCGACCACCUGGGCUCAUACUGACACUGAGGUGCGAAAGCGUGGGGAGCAAACAGG
rnacentral:rRNA from 1 species